rnacentral:lncRNA from 1 species
GUGAAAUAGAUCUAGGUCUUCGACGGUGGUGCUUGUGUUUUAUAGUAGUUGCGGUUCAAGGCUUCAAGCGACAUUGAUGACACCGGUUUUCGAACAUAGCAGAGGCGGUGCAACCAUUGGCUGAGGUCUCGCGGUGGUCUUUGACAUCACAAACAUAUCUGGUUGUGGCAACGACUUAUUGUUGAAGAUGGGAGGUUGCCUUGUGCUUAGGAGCACAGAGCACUCGUACUUGAAUAGACCAUGGUAUGCUUUAGGUCUGCUUCUCAUUUGCAAACCAUAGACGGCAAGAUGAAAUAGAACCAAAGAGACAACUUCUACUAAUUAAUAGGAAAAUAGAUGAUGAAGUUUCCAGAAAUCUUGCAAGAUUUUGCUUAUAAUGAGAACAACAAAAGCAGAACCAAGGGUUAAAGAAGCUUAAAUUUGCAAAAGGAGCAAAAAGACAGCAAAAACCAAGAUAAAAGUAAAGAAGGAGGAAUUGCCGCUACUCGCUAAGCCCCGAUUCACAUCCAAACCACAAAAUAGCAAGAACAGAAGGCUGUCAUGGGGUCGUGUCCACCAGACAUGGGCCGUGUCCGAAGUUGGAUGCUGGGCAGAAGCAAAGACAACUGCAAAAGACAAAAAUAACAACCAACACGGGGCCGUGCUAAGCCAAAACGGGGUGUGGUCAACUCAAAGAUUUUCAGAAUAUGCGUUAGUACAGCAAGUACUUUUGCCACGGGCCAUGCCGUUGACACACGGGGCCGUGUUAGUACAAUAUCUGACAAGCAGUUAAUGAGGAAGAGAGAGAUAGAGAUGGGCACGGGGCUGUGCCAGCCGAGCACGGGCUGUGCUGAAGCUUCUGAAGACACCUAUAAAUAGAAGUGAUUGGUUCCACUUCAACUAUAACAACCCUCCUAAAAUUUUUUCGACACC